GAAAUUCCUAAAUUUUUUUGCAAAGGAAUCAUUGACGCGAUGUCACAAUUCUGGUGGGGUGAUGAGGACAAUCGAAAACGGAUGCACUGGAUGGCAUGGUGGAAGAUUUUUGUUCCAAAAGGUCAAGGAGGAAUGGGCUUCAGAGAUAUGCAUUGUUUUAUCCUCGCAUUGUUAGCUAAACAAGCAUGGUGUCUCCUGAAUAAUCCCGAAUCGUUAUGUGCCACGAUCUUAAGAGCCAAGUAUUUCUCGGAUGGCGAUUUGAUGAUUGCAAGUUUAAAAAAGGGUUCCUCCUUUACUUGGUGGAGUAUUACGGUUGGAGUAGACUCUCUCAGGAAUGGUUAUAUAUGGAGGGUUGGAACAGGAGAAAAUAUUGAUAUAUGGAGAGAUGCAUGGAUUCUGAAUUGUGUGAACAUGAGAAUUAUUACAUCGAGUAGAGGGAAUCUCUUGACGGAAGUUUGUGAUCUUAGACUACUCACAAUGGGGAGUAUCAUAUACUAG
rnacentral:rRNA from 1 species